CGUGGAGUGGUGUAACGGUUAGCACAGCGGUCUCUAAAACCGUAUCCUUCUGAGGGAGUAAGAUUGGGUUCGAAUCCCAACUCCACUGCCAGA
rnacentral:tRNA from 1 species